GGCGGAGGGCAGCCGACACCGCCCAGAAGGCAUCAGAGCUCCGGCUCCAAGCCGGAGCGUGCCUCGAGCAUCGCUGUGGAAGCCCGCGGCCGCCCCCUCCCGAGCUCCGAGCCGUCCCCUAAAGUUUAUUUUUAGCCCCCGGAAAGCGCUAUAAAGGUCCCGCAGAGCGAGCGGGACUGGGAGACGUGGCAUCGUGCUGCCUGCAGCCACUUCUCUGAACUGUUACCUUCAAAAUGAAGAGAACAAAGAACGCCUUGGAAAAAUCCAGUCGUAACAUCUGAGGAAUAGAAAUAAUAGGAAAUACUUGUAAGGUCAGAAUUUGGAUGGAAUUUAUGGAAAGUUACAAAGGGCCCUAUUACAGUUGAAUCUAGAUUUGGGAAUUUUAAUUUUAUACUUAAUAAAGAUAUCAGUGCAUCUUUUCCUCUACUUUGGAUGAUAAUGCAUUCUGCUGUCUUCAGCCUUGCACAACUUUCUUAUACCAACUAACGUACCUUCAGCUUAAUUCUUUAGUUGUUAGACCUAAGACACCUCCUCACACCAAGCUAGAGCAUGAAUUUAAUAAACCAUUUGUUGUUCCUCUCUGUUUGAUGGUCCAUAAUUAGAAAUAUUAGAGCCCUGCAUUUCUAAUCCCCAGCAGAACAAGUGGCAUUUGACUAAAAGGUAUACAACCUUAUCACCUUAUCACUUAUGCCAAAAGUACAUAAUAUCGAGCUCAUGUGCACUUAAGGCUUUCUGUGCUAAGUAGAGGUGAUACUUAGCCUAACUCCUACAUUUGUAGAAUUAAAACAUGAUAAUUUUUAGAAGAGUUCUUACUUAACUAAUUGUGUAGACAUCAUACGUGGGUAAUAUUUCUGUGACACUGAUGUAGCAUUAAGAGCCCUAAGUCAAAUUUUGUCCAUGAAAACAUACAAAACAGUCAGUGAGUGCCAGACAAUGAGAAGUACUGUGUGAGAAGAGACAGCACCAAUGGAAGUCUAAUCCCUUUUUCCUCUGUUGCCCAUACACUCUGUUCAGUUGCCUGCAGAGAAAAACCUAGGUGGUAUUAUUUACAACUGAUCUUUUUAGGCUAAAACUAUUAAAACAAAAUGCCAAGCAACUUGAAAGUUUCUAUAGAAAUAUUGAUAGGCAGACAAAAGAGAAAAGAAAUUAAAGCUGAUGAUUAUUUAUCACUGAGAAACACACACACAAAACAGCCUUUUGAGUUUACUUUCCUGAUUUUAAAUACUAAAACAUGCACCUCAAAGUCUGUUUUUCUGUCUUGCUAGUCUUAAUUCAUGGCAGAACAGACCAAUAGUAGUGUAAGGAGGCGCCUAUUUCAUUCUAGGUUUGAAAGGAAACCCAACAAGCAGCUCUACAAAGUUGGUUUUUUUGUUUGUUUUUGUUGUUGUUGUUUUGCAUCCUGGCACUUCUGAUUUAGUAGCUGCUCCUCCUGUCUGCGUUUGAGGUCAAACAUUUAAGUGUUGAAUAAAUGUAAGGGAGGUUUCUCUACCAAGUAUCAUUUACAAGAGCAGAUGCUGCAGGCUGUGAAUUAGGGAUAGUGGAUAUUAGUCUCACAUCAUCUAUUGACUGCUAUUAAAAACCUUGUUUACAUCUAAUCCCUGCCCCAAAUCCCUCCCAUAUGGUACUCAAGUACCAAUUUCUUAUGUUUUCCAAAGGUCACAUAUCAUCAGCACCAAGAAAAGACCACAGGUCCUCUGACACAGCACCACCACUGUGCAAAAUCUGUGUUGAGUUAAACUCUCUACAGACAUACUUUCAGCUUUUAUGCUGUGCUUUGUCCCAAAGUGGUGCUCAGAACAAAGGCAUUCCAUUUCCUAAGCAGUUGAAAACUUAGCUAGCAAAGUAAAGUGCACUUAUUCAUUGCAGGCAGUCCAUUUAAAUAUGCAUAGCUAUCUUCUAUGUGUUUCUUCUAUUUAAAUAAUCUGCAUAAAUCAGCCUGCAUCGUAGCUUUGUCAGCUGCUGAUAUUCAACAAUGAGAGGAAGUAGAAAGCAGUAGAAUUAAUAUCCACUGGGUGAUCGUAGUUCCGGCCUAACGUCGGAGUGUUUGACUAAUUGAUUGCCCUUAGCAUUCUGCUAACAACAGAUGUAUGGUAUGAGUUAAAUUAUUAAAUUUAUAUUGCUCUUAUUGCUUCCCAUAGCCUGAAACAGUUGUCAUUAUUGAAAUUAUUUAAAUCAGAAACAUUGUAUUCAAAAAUGUUUUAAUUGAUUUUCUUAAUUUUUGUUAAUAAAAACUGCUCUAUUAAAAGUA